UAAUACAGAGGGUGCAAGCGUUGUCCGGAUUUAUUGGGUGUAAAGGGUGCGUAGGCGGGACGAUAAGUCCGAGGUGAAAGCCCGCAGCUUAACUGCGGAACUGCCUUGGAUACUGUCGACCUUGAGUCCCGGAGGGGUGGCUGGAAUUCCUGGUGUAGCGGUGAAAUGCGUAGAUAUCAGGAGGAACACCGGAGGUGUAGACGGGUCACUGGACGGGUACUGACGCUGAGGCACGAAAGCGUGGGGAGCAAACAGGAUUAGAUACCCUGGUAGUCCACGCCGUAAACUAUGAAUGCUCGGUGUCGCCCUCAUGUGGGGGCGGUGCCUAAGCUAACGCGUUAAGCAUUCCACCUGGGGAGUACGUUCGCAAGAAUG
rnacentral:rRNA from 1 species